UACAGAGGUGGCAAGCGUUGUUCGGAAUUACUGGGCGUAAAGGGCUUGUAGGCGGCCAACUAAGUCAGACGUGAAAUCCCUCGGCUUAACCGGGGAACUGCGUCUGAUACUGGAUGGCUGGAGUGUGGGAGAGGGAUGCGGAAUUCCAGGUGUAGCGGUGAAAUGCGUAGAUAUCUGGAGGAACACCGGUGGCGAAGGCGGCAUCCUGGACCAUUACUGACACUGAAAAGCGAAAGCCAGGGGAGCAAACGGG
rnacentral:rRNA from 1 species